rnacentral:rRNA from 1 species
GACGAACGCUGGCGGCGUGCUUAACACAUGCAAGUCGAACGGAAAGGCCCCUUUGGGGGUACUCGAGUGGCGAACGGGUGAGUAACACGUGAGUAACCUGCCCUUGCCUUCGGGAUAACUUCAGGAAACUGGGGCUAAUACCGGAUAGGAAUCCUUGCUGCAUGGUGGGGGUUGGAAAGCUUCGGCGGUGUUGGAUGGACUCGCGGCUUAUCAGCUUGUUGGUGGGGUAGUGGCUUACCAAGGCUUUGACGGGUAGCCGGCCUGAGAGGGUGACCGGCCACAUUGGGACUGAGAGACGGCCCAGACUCCUACGGGAGGCAGCAGGGGGGAAUAUUGCACAAGGGGCGGAGGCCUGAUGCAGCAACGCCGCGGGCGGGAUGACGGCCUUCGGGUUGUAAACCGCUUUCAGCAGGGGCGAAGCUUGUGGUGACGGUACCUGCAGAAGAAGCACCGGCUAACUACGUG